CCCACCACUACACUUGCCCAGAGCAGGCCCAUCUAGAUCUUUUACAAUAGGUAACUGGCAAACCUGUGUCCGACGCCCCUGUCAUGGCAGUGUCUACAGGGGAUAAAGGGGGGCCCCUAGCUACCGUGGUCCUACCCAUUGAGGGUCAUCCAACAACUUUCCUAGUUGACACAGGCGCGCAGUGUUCUCAGAGAACAAGAUCUGACUGACUCUUCUUUCCUAUCUAAUAUUGAUGUCUC